CCACCGUGGAUACCCAGAGAGGUCCCUCUCCCCGGGCUUUGUCCAGGUGGCACAGGGGAGCAAAGGGCUCUGCCCAGUGAUGCACAAUCUGAUUCCACGACAUUGAAGAGGAAGCCAGGCCCUGAGCUGCACCAACUUUGCAGAGUCCUAAGGACAAUGCCUGAGGAGAUGAGUCACUUUAAAAAU
ensembl:snoRNA SNORA73 Small nucleolar RNA SNORA73 family